rnacentral:rRNA from 1 species
CCUACGGGGGGCUGCAGUGGGGAAUAUUGGACAAUGGGGGCAACCCUGAUCCAGCCAUGCCGCGUGUGUGAAGAAGGCCCUCGGGUUGUAAAGCACUUUCAGUGAGGAAGAACGCCUGGUGGUUAAUACCCAUCAGGAAAGACAUCACUCACAGAAGAAGCACCGGCUAACUCCGUGCCAGCAGCCGCGGUAAUACGGAGGGUGCGAGCGUUAAUCGGAAUUACUGGGCGUAAAGCGCGCGUAGGUGGCUUGAUAAGCCGAUUGUGAAAGCCCCGGGCUCAACCUGGGAACGGCAUCCGGAACUGUCAAGCUAGAGUGCAGGAGAGGAAGGUAGAAUUCCCGGUGUAGCGGUGAAAUGCGUAGAGAUCGGGAGGAAUACCAGUGGCGAAGGCGGCCUUCUGGACUGACACUGACACUGAGGUGCGAAAGCGUGGGUAGCAAACAGGAUUAGAUACCCGGGUAGUC